rnacentral:snRNA from 1 species
AUCGCUUUUCGGCUCCUUGGAGCUAUGGUCAAGUGUAGUAUCUGUUCUUAUCAGUUUAAUAUCUGAUGUUUUUCCCCCUCAGAAUAGGAAAGCUGAUAUCCUGGUUUAUGGCAUUUACUUAAU